GGCGGAGUAGCUCAGGUGGUUAGAGCAGCGGAAUCAUAAUCCGCGUGUCGGGGGUUCGAGUCCCUCCUCCGCUACCA
rnacentral:tRNA from 78 species